rnacentral:tRNA from 1 species
AGAAAUUUAGCUCAGUUGGUUAGAGCGCAGUCCUUAUAAGGCUGAGGUCACAGGUUCAAGACCUGUAAUUUCUA